rnacentral:rRNA from 1 species
GAAUUGAUGGCGGCCUACACAUGUGGUGAGUGUGUGUGUGACAAUCCGAAACAAAUGGGAAAAACACUCGAAUACAAUGAAGACAUGGAAUGAAUUUGAGGCUCUUCUUGUGCAAGGUCAGUAAUUAGAACGUGUUGUUCACUGUUGAGGCAUUCUUGGUGCAAGUCUGCAAUUGGAGGAGUGGGAAUAUUUCUCGCUACUCGAGCAUCCUCC